AUUGAACGCUGGCGGCAGGCUUAACACAUGCAAGUCGAGCGAGCGGCGGACGGGUGAGUAAUGUCUGGGAAACUGCCUGAUGGAGGGGGAUAACUACUGGAAACGGUAGCUAAUACCGCAUACCAUCAGAUGUGCCCAGAUGGGAUGAGCUAGUAGGGGGGGAAAUGGCUACCCUAGGCGACGAUCCCUAGCUGGUCUGAGAGGAUGACCAGCCCCACUGGAACGGCGCCACGGUCCAGAUCCCUACGGAAGGCAGCAGUGGGGAAUAUUGCCCAAUGGGCGCAAGCCUGAUGCAGCCAUGCCGCGUGUGUGAAGAAGGCCUUCGGGUUGUAAAGCACUUUCAGCGAGGAGGCGUUACUCGCAGAAGAAGCACCGGCUAACUCCGUGCCAGCAGCCGCGGUAAUAC
rnacentral:rRNA from 1 species